AAACAGAUGCUAAUACCGGAUAACAACAGAUGAUGCCUAUCAACUGUUUAAAAGAUGGUUCUGCUAUCACUCUUGGAUGGACCCGCGGUGCAUUAGCUAGUUGGUAGGGUAACAGCCUACCAAGGCGAUGAUGCAUAGCCGAGUUGAGAGACUGAUCGGCCACAUUGGGACUGAGACACGGCCCAAACUCCUACGGGAGGCAGCAGCC
rnacentral:rRNA from 1 species